AUCUUCUCGGCUUAGCGGCUGAAGACUGACGCUACCUGAUCGCCUCGGAAGCCCCUGGAUCAUAAAGGACGCCGAGCUUUGGGUAACUUUUACAGUGGAGGACUCAGCCCGCCUGCACCCAGGUGAAAUAAACAGCCUUGUUGCUCACACAAAGCCUGUUUGGUGGUCUCUUCACAUGGACACGAGUGAAAGUUACCAUGCUUGGUCCUGCUUCCCACUGUUAUAAUAGGUAGAUUGGCAGAUAAGAGCAGGACAAGAAAGGGCCCCGAAGAAGAUCAGAUGAUUCCCAGAUGACUGUCUUGUGAUUGUCAGGUGGGCUCCUCAGGCAUUAUAAGGUAAGUGGUCACAACUGGGGGAAAAAUUCCUGAGAAACAGGAAACAUCUUGAGCUUGUGGGCAACAACUACCCAAUAAGAUCCUAGAAACUGAAUCUUAUUGGGAACCUUCAUAAUAAGGGUACCUUCAUAACAAGGUACAGCAGACUGGGGGGUUUACACAAUGGAAAUUGAUUUUCUUGUAGCUCCAAAGUCUAAAUGUUCAAGAUUAAGGUGUCAGCAAGGUUGAUUUUUUUCUGAGGUCUCUCUCCUUGGGUGGUAGAUGGCUGUGUUUUUGUCUGUGUCUUCACAUGGUUUUCAAGUCUUCAUGUCCUCACAUGUCUUCAAGUGAGGUUGACCUAGGGCCCACUCUGAGGACCUCAUUCUAACCUAAUUACAUCUUUAAGGCCCUAUCUACAAAUACAGGCACACUCUAAGGUCAUCUUCUUCAACAUAUGAAUUGAGAGGCAGGGGCACAAUUCAGCUUAUAACAGGUGUCAUUACUCCCAUUUUACUAAUGAGGAAACUGAGGUAGCGUAUUUUGCCUAAAGUCACACAGUGAGCUGGGAUUGGAAACUGGAUCUGUCUGAGACCAAAACCCACACCCCACCCUCCAAGCUGUAUCGCUCAUCCUGAAUAAGGCAAAGUCAGGGCAGCCAACCCAACUUGAAUCUUUAAAGGGAAAGCUGAGAUGGGCCCCAGAGGACAGGAGAUAAAGGGAAUUGAAUGCUGAUUGCUGGCAGGGGUGUGGGAGGAGCUGCAGGACAGGCAUUAUGCAAGCAGAGAUGGGAACAUGGCUGUGGAUUCCGUGUACCUUCUCAGACCAGCUGGUGCAUGGUGCACUGAUUUAGAGCUCCUUAAACAUCCUAGGUGGAGACAGAUCUAAAAGAAAGCUGCUCUUCUUGUGUUCCUGUGAGAGAAAGCUGCUUGCUAGCUGGAAAGACAGGGGAUACUGUGGAGGGAGAGUGAGAAGAAGCCCAGUUCCUUCCCACAUUACAGACCCUACGCUAAUACAACAAUAGGAGGUCGACCCAUUGCUAAUUGUUCUGGGAGGAGAAAGAGUGAGCAUCACACGAAUGUACAGGCACACAAGAGAUGUAAUAAACACAGUCUAACAUAUCACCAGCUCCCAUACAGGGCUGAUUUGCAAUUGUAAAUCCAUUGGUAGCGUGCAUGAAUGCUAAGAACGUCGGAGUGCCGGGCUGUGAAUUUGCCAAGGAAACUGGCGUGCUUUUCUACAAGAGAAGAAGUAUAUACCCUGUGGAAAAUUAUUUUUUUUCCUGUGCAAUUAGGUCUGUCUCUCCAUUUAAAUCAUUUUUAAUAAUCUCCUGAUCAGUGCUGUAUUUUUAACUGUGAAUAAUAUAACUCUACAUUUACACUAAACAUAAACCAUUGAACAAAAAGUAUUUUAUAAACUGGAACUUACCUUCCCUUAAAUAAUGGCUCCAAAUAAGUGAUUUCAUGCAAGCAAGACAAUCCAAUUAAGCUGCUAUCUUUGGAGCCGUAGGACUACAUUGUUUAGCCCCACAGAGCAGGGAUGGCCAUACUACAUCCAUCGGGCCAAGUCCAGCCCAUUGUUUUUGUAAAUAAAGUUUUAUUGGAACAGAACUACAUCCAUUUGGUUGGGUACUGUCUACAGCUACUUUUGCGUUACAACAGUAGAACUGAGUAGUUGCAGCAGCUAUAGUAUGGCUGGCAGAGCCUUGUAUUUCUAGCUAGCCCUGUACAGAGAAAGUUUGCCCAUCCCUGCCUUAGAGCCUUAUGUCAGCAGGGUCCCUUCUCCAUCCCAGGAAGCUCUUCCAGUGGAAUCAUACGAGGAUGUGUCCAAGGCUCUCUUGAAUCUGGUUCUGGUUCUAGUUGGCUCAGAACAUCCAGUAACUAAUAAUGCUGUGACUACCAUGGUUUGUUCCUGAUGGUGUAUUGGACUCAACUAUCAACAGCAGUUCAUAACUCAGAAGAGUCAGGGAAACCACUAUAAAAAGACAAAAUUGUAAAACGAGCACAUAUCCCUGUUGUUGGAUGUUGGCACUGGUUCUAGGCCCACUUUGUGUUCAGACCCAGUCCUCGCUUGGGCCUCAUUGAGCUCUCUCUCUGGGAGGGUUGACUUUUGCUGGUUCUUCUCCAGGUUUUACACUGGUCAGCUGCUUUCCACCUGAAUGUGGCCAUUGACAGCCCUGGGCAAGCAACCUGGCAGCAGGUGGAAGGGAGAAGCUAGACUACUUCUCUUCUUUCUCUCUGUCUCUUUGCCUUGGGUAUAUCUGUGGUAACAGCUUUAUUUACUCUCAAGCAGGUUAAGCAUUCGUCUAAGACUUUCUAUCUAGGAAAUGAAAGAGCCGAGACUCCAACUCUGCCAUGGCUGUUUUUAAAGGCUCUGUUCUUUGCCACACCUGGUUGUUUUUCAGAGAGUGAGUGACCUCAGAAUGCCACCCCCACUUCCUGCCCAGAGGUACCCAGCAAAGUAACUUCAAGUGGCUAACCACAUUUCAUUGUGAAUUUCAAUACCAGUUUACCUAGGAAAAUGUAUUCCAGAUACAUCAAAAGGAGCUGAAUGAAAAAUAUCAUGUGUAUCCUUUUUAUAAGUUUAAAGUCAGAUUGUAAUGUAUUAGCAAUAGAUAGAAUACUUUAGACUUUUCUUUUUUGGUCAAAUCAUGUUUGAUUUGGUUAAUCUCAGUUGAACAGGAAUUUAACACCAGGUCUUUUAAGUGAAAUCAUUUCUAUAUUAAUGAGAUCCAGAGUGAUUCAACUAAAAAAAUGAUUAAAAAACUAAAGUGUCCCCUUGCUGUUAUUCAAAUGAAUGGAAGGAAAGAGGUGGUAUUUUUGAAGCUCACUCUCUCUCUCUCUCUCCCUCUCCCUACCAUCUUUUUCCCAGCCUAAUUGACUUGGAUCUGGCUCAUCUUGAGUAGGUUAUGUUUUCUUAUUGUAACAGCCUUUCCCCAGCAAAAUCAUUCCCCUCACUAAUGAGCUCCAUCCUCCUAUGAUAGGGAGAGAGUUUUAAAAACACCCACUGUUCUCACUCUUUCAUUUGAAUAGCACCAAAGGGGCACCUUUUCCCAUCAUUUCUAUCAGAGAGAUAGGGUUGGAUCUCAUUAAUAAAGAGAUGAUUUUACUCCAAAGAGCCCUCAGCAUUGAGCCCUAACCUAGAUUAGAACUUUGUUAAACACUGAGCCCCAGCCAUUGAAAGGUCCUCCUGAGCUGUACCCACACCCAGUGUCACCAGAGCCGAGAUUUCACCCAUUGAAGGAAUGGACAGCCAGGGUCAGGCUGUGCCCUCAGUUCCCAAACCUGCAGAUCCUAUGAUGCUCUUUGCCUGACAGGUCUUUCACCUUUAAUCAGCUGUAUUUCACCUGUAUUUCACAGUGGUCUUCUCAGACCUGACCCUUCAAACCCAGGGGCCUUCCACAAGCCAUGCAGCUCGGACUGAGAUGUAGGGGAAGGACUCCAGCAGAAGGGUUUCCCAGCCCUGUCUUCACUCCCACUCUCUGCUCCCUGUCACCAUGCCUUGCCAUCGUUCUUCUGGGUCUCAAUUUCUAUUCCUUCAUAGCCCAGUUCACUCCCAAACUCCUGUCUCUGGCCUGCUAAUUGCAGCAGACCCUCUGCCCCUGGGGUAAUGAGAGGCAGGUUAGAUGCAUAGCCCAAGACACCAAUGGCCCCAGAGAGCCGCUGACUUUGCAUGAGUCCUCUCUUAGCCACCCUCAUCUUUCAGGUGCCCUGAGAGCUUGGGAGAAAGCAGAGCCUGGUGGUUAGCAUGUGGGCUCUACAGUAUCCCAAUUUGGGUCCAAUCUUGCCAUUCAUGACCUUAGAUACAUGCCUUAUAUUGGAAAAGGUUAUGUGUUUCUUGUGUUUCUGCACAUCUUAUGAAUAAGGCACUGACUGCUCCUUGUUCAGGUCUAUCUGUCUAAAGUUGUUUAUAGGAUAGUGUUUCCCUCUAGAGGAAAGAGCUAGCAGCCUUACUGUUAAUUAUAAAACAUUUGGGUUUCCUAAGCUCAGAGAUCCUCUCUUGUAAUACGGGGAAUUGCAUAUGAAGGUGUCACUUGGCUCUCUUUGUGUCAUCCUGUGAGAAUUGGAGCUUAUGGGGAAGGUGCAAGAAAUACUGAUGCUCUGGCUACUUCUAUAACUGUGAUUAAAAAACUGUUCUGUAUCUCUGACCCAGGAAGCUUGUGUCUUCCGCCAGCAUCCAUGAAACUGCGACAGGCUCACUUGUUAGCUGUUUCACAGUUCUUGACAACUUGCUUAUUUUGAGCUUCAGCUUUCUAUGUGUAAAAUGGGAGAAUAAUAAGAAUACUGCUAUAAACUAAACAUUUACAUUUCUCUAAAAUUUGUAUGUUGAAAUCCUAACCCCUAAUGUGAUGGCAUUAGGAGGUGGAGGUCUUUGCAAGGGUGGAACCUUGAAAAUGGGAUUAGUGGCCUUAUAAAAGAGACCCUAGAGAGCUCAUUUGCCCCUUCUGCCAUGUGAGAAAACAGGGAGAAGGUUCCAUCUAUGAAACAGAAAAGAAACAUUCACUAGACAGUGAAUCUGCCAGCACCUCGAUCUUGGACUCUCCAGUCUCCAGAACUGUGGGAAAUUGAUGUGUGUUUUUAUAAGCCACCCAGUUUAUGGUAUUCUGUUACAGCAGCCUGAACUGAUGAAAACAAGUACCUCUCUUAGAAGGUAGUUGUAAAGAUUUAAUAUGAUAAUCAAUGUUAAUGAUGAUAAACAUUGGCAAAUAGUAAGCAUUAAAUUAAUGUUAUCUAAUUUUCAUUAUGUCACCUUUGCCUGUCACCUUAUUAUAGCAGAGAAGUCUGAUCAGAGGAUUUGAGAGAUCACUGUGGUCAGAGGGAACCCUGAUCUCAGCAAAAUAACCUAGUUCUAUUGUCAGAUACAAUGGUCAUACAGAUAGGAAACAUUCCUCUUUGGAUCACCAAUUGGAAGGAGAUUAGUGAUCACUUUCCCCUCCUUUGAGUUUCCAUCAGUAACUGCAGUGGACUGCGUCUUAUUUUAUUAUAGUCCCUAGCUAUGUGUAGGUACUUACUCAUAAGAUGGAACAUAUAAAUAUGAAUUUAGUUCCCAUCACCAGGAGGAAAUACCAUAUUGGAACAAUGUGCCCAUUCCCUUGCAUUUACAAUCAUAUUUAUCCUCUCUUAAAAUCUCUCCCUAGCUCCUUAUUGCUCUUGAGACAAAAAUCUAAACACCUCCCUCUUUAGUGCACUCUCCCACUCCUGCACACCCAUACUUUGUUAUUCCGAUGGGCCUCUAGACAGUCAUACAUUCUGUGUACUCUGCUUACAGUUCUCCAUCCUCCUUUGCCCUCAGUCUUAGUCUGUUUUGUGCUGCUGUAAGAAUAUACCUGAGACUAGGUAAUUUAUAAAGAAAAGAAAUGUAUUUCAAACACUUCUAGAGGCUGGAAAGUCCAAGAUCAAGUCACUUGCAGAUUUGGUGUCUGGUGAAGGCUGCUCAUAUGGUUUGGCUCUGUGUCCCCACCCAAAUCUCAUCUUGAAUUCUAAUCCUCAUGUGCCAAGGGGGGUACCUAUAAUCCUCACAAGUCAAGGGAGGGAAGUGAUUGGAUUAUGGAGGCAGAUUUCCCUCAUGCUGUUCUCGUGAUAGUGAGUAAGUUCUCAUGAGAUCUGAUGGUUUUUAUAAAUGAUAGUUUUUCCUGUGCUCUCAUUCCCUCUCCUGCUGCCUUGUGAAGAAGUUACUUGCUUCUUUGCCUUCCACUAUGAUGGUAAGUUUCCUGAGGCCUCUCCAGCCAUAUGGAACUGUGAGUCAAUUAAACCUCUUCUCUUCAUAAAUUACCCAGUCUCAAGUAUCUCGGGUAUUUCUUUGUAGCAGUGUGAGAAAGAGGACGAAUAUAGCUGCUCUCCACUUUCAAUAUGGUGCCCUUUGGAAGGGGAGAAAUGCUGCAUCCUCAUGUUAGAGAAAGUAGAAAGGCAAGCCAGCAGAAGGCUGCAUGAAGCCUCUUUUAUACAGGCAUUAAUCUCAUUCAUUAGGGGAGAAGCCCUAAAGACCUAAUCACCACUUAAAAGUCCUACCUCUUAAUACCAUUAUAUUGGUCAUUAAGUUUCAACAUCUGGAUUUUGGAAGAAACCCAUUUAUAUGACAGCCCUCCCCACUCUCAACUCCUGCAUCUGUUAACUCCUAUUCAUCUCUAAAAUGUCAGCUUAAUAUUACUUUCCUGGAAAGUUCUUUCUUACCCAGGUCCCAUGGGCCCCAGAGUAGCACAGUAUCCUUGCCAUGCAGCCCUCCAUCUGGUAUUAUUUCCUCUAUCUCAAGUUCCAUCACAUAAUUUUGAGGGGUAUUUAUCACUAAACCUGAUUUAGAAAGGUCAAAAUCAGAAGAUUAGGCAAAAGUAUACCAGAGAAACAUAAGUUAAGAUAAAGCAGGUUUUGCUGUGGUAGAUUUAAAGCAUGUCUGUAAAGCAUUUGAUACUUCUUCCAUCAAGAUAUGAAGCCCAAUAGCUGACUCAUCUAAUACAGUCUACUCUUCGUAACUUACUUCCUGUGAAAAAUUUAGGAAAAAAGGAUUCUGGGAGACUGUUGAAGGAAAUUCAUGAAGGGAAAUAUAGUUUCUGCUUGGCUGUUUCUUGGGACCCCUAAUCUUGGAACCCACAUGCCAUGCACUGAGGAAGCCCAAGCCACAUGUAGACGCAAUGUGCAGGUGUUCUCACUGAGACCUCCAGGUGAGGUCCAGCCAACUUUUGUCAUCCACUGCCAGUCAUGAAUAAAGAAGCUUUUGAGAUGACUCUAUCCCCCUUCUGGAGUCUGGGAAGUCUAAGAUCAACUUGCUUGCAGGUUCGGUGUCUGUUGCAGGCUGUUCUCUACUUUUAAUAUGGCAACCUCUGGAAUGGGAGAAAUGCUAGCAGCCCAAACCACUCUCUGCCUUCAGUAAGAAGAGAUACCCUGAAUGAGAACUACCCAGCAGAUCCUUGUCAAACCCAGACCCAUGAGAGAUUUGUAAUAAUAAUAAUAAUAAUAAUAAUAAUAAUAAUAAUAAUAAUAAUAAUAAAAUGUU
rnacentral:lncRNA from 1 species